GCUGGGGAAAGGGAAUGGAAGAUUUCCAGGGUAGCCUUGCCCAACUCCCCCGGGGGGCUCUUGUGGAGGGGGCUGUGACCCAGGCCAGGCUAGGAGAAGGUGCUGCCUGUUCCGGCAAGGCCUGUAGGCAGUGGUGACCUUGUGAGCAUUCGCGUCACCUCUCUCUGGACUUUCUGAAGAUAGGACCAGCCUCAGAUGUGAUCGGGCUGGGGGCGAACGGAGAGAUGAGAAAACUGAGGCCCCGCGCUGGGGUUUCCAGAGCCCGGGAUUUCCCAGCCCUCCCACUCCCAGCCUCCAGCCACUCCCGCCCCUCUUGCCCAGCACGGUCUGCGGCAGCUCCGCGGGGUCGCCGGCGAGGGCCGGCUGGGACUCCCGGGGGACCCCGCCGUCGGAGCAGCCCCCGGCGCUCGGCGCCGCCCCGCCUCGCCGCCGUGCACUC
ensembl:lncRNA